rnacentral:rRNA from 1 species
UACGUAGGGGGCAAGCGUUGUCCGGAAUCAUUGGGCGUAAAGCGCACGUAGGCGGUUCGUUAUGUCAGAUGUGAAAGCCCUUGGCUCAACUGAGGAAGUGCAUCUGAAACUGGCGAGCUAGAGUACGUAAGAGGGUCGCGGAAUUCCCGGUGUAGAGGUGAAAUUCGUAGAUAUCGGGAGGAACACCGGUGGCGAAGGCGGCGACCUGGGACGAUACUGACGCUGAGGUGCGAAAGCGUGGGGAGCAAACAGG